rnacentral:misc_RNA from 1 species
UGUUUUCUUGAAGUACUUAAUUGAAAAUGUCCAGAACAACAACAGUGAGGACUUGUAUCUGUCAUUGGACGAAAGAGAACCAGUACCAGAGGGUUUCAUAAUAGAUCUAAACAUUGAGAAUGUUGUCAUGCUUAAUGUGCUUAGCUUUAUUGGUUCUGUAGAUGUAAGCACGAAAACAUACCUCCUACAUCAGGAGUUGCUUAACUUCAUGCUUGUUGCAAUGUCAACC